rnacentral:rRNA from 1 species
GAUGAACGCUGGCGGCGUGCCUAAUACAUGCAAGUCGAGCGAACAGACGAGAGUGCUUGCACUCUCUGACGUUAGCGGCGGACGGGUGAGUAACACGUGGGUAACCUACCUAUAAGACUGGGAUAACUUCGGGAAACCGGAGCUAGUACCGGAUAAUAUUUAGCUUCGCAUGAAGCAAUAGUGAAAGACGGUUCUGCUGUCACUUAUAGAUGGACCCGCGGUGUAUUAGCUAGUUGGUGAGGUAACGGCUCACCAAGGCAACGAUACAUAGCCGACCUGAGAGGGUGAUCGGCCACACUGGGACUGAGACACGGCCCAGACUCCUACGGGAGGCAGCAGUAGGGAAUCUUCCGCAAUGGACGAAAGUCUGACGGAGCAAUGCCGCGUGAGUGAAGAAGGUUUUCGGAUCGUAAAACUCUGUUGUAAGGGAAGAACAAGUACGUUAGUAACUGAACGUACCUUGACGGUACCUUACCAGAAAGCCACGGCUAACUACGUG